rnacentral:rRNA from 1 species
UACGAGGGGGGCGAGCGUUGUUCGGAAUUAUUGGGCGUAAAGCGCGCGUAGGCGGUGAUCUUUGUCAGAGGUGAAAGCCUGGGGCUCAACUCCAGAAUUGCCUUUGAAACGGGAUUGCUUGAGUCCGAGAGAGGAUGGCGGAAUUCCUAGUGUAGAGGUGAAAUUCGUAGAUAUUAGGAAGAACACCGGUGGCGAAGGCGGCCAUCUGGCUCGGUACUGACGCUCAGGCGCGAAAGCGUGGGGAGCAAACAGG